rnacentral:sRNA from 1 species
UAACACUGGACUACGAACGAUAGCUAUUC